GUAGAGAAGAUAGCAAAAUAGAAGA
rnacentral:piRNA from 1 species